GUCUGCAGUUAUACCUUCCCCAACAUGCCUGAUCUCAUCUAAUCGCAGAAGCAAAGCAGGUCAGAUCUGGUUCGAACUUGGAAAGUAGAAAAGAGAGGGAUAUUUAGGAAUCUUGUGAUU
rnacentral:rRNA from 1 species